CAGUAUUGGAACAAGAAUAAAUUGAAUCUCUCUGUCUGAAAAGAGCCAGCUGUGUAUGAAAACACUGCCUGUCUUCUAUAACAGGCUGGCUGUUAUUUACGGAAGAUGGAACUUUCAAGUAGUAUCCUCAGAAAAUUAUUGCUGUGGUCUGGGGCAGUAUGGAGAUAUUCCUGAAUCCCCUUCUGUUGGCGACCCAUAAUAGCAACCCAAUGACACUCUAAUUUCUAAAAGGUAACACACAAGUUAUCCAAAAUUGAGGUUUUAAGUGUGGGCUCGGGGUCUUUAAUACAUGUCAUUCAUAUUCUUCUUUCUCUUUCAUUAAAAUGAAACUUCAGAAAAGACAUGCAUCUCAUUUAACAAGAGGCCAAAUAUAAAUAACUCCUGAGAAACUUUGGUUAAUCCAUAACUUAUCCCAGGCUAUGUCAUUUCGAAUCUAGUUGUGAAUGUUUCAGCCACAGAAAAAUUCUCACCUUACUCAGUACAACAAAGUCAUUUUGGAAAGAGAGCCAAUGACCAAAUUAAUUCUUUUAUGGAGCUGUCUGAUUUGAUUAAGUUGUUAUACCGCAUUUUAAAACUCAUUAACAUGAACUAUCAAGCCAUUUUGUAAGUGAUUUUCUUCUAACAUCUUUACAUUUACUGUCCUGGAAGGCUUUUGGUGUCAAUCAAAAUAGAUGACAAUACUAAAUCACUGGCUUUAUAACAUAAUUCAACAGUGGGUGAAUUCAGCUGUCUCUGUGAAAUAUGACCUUGCAAGAGUGGCUGAUUUGCCUGUUGCCUUCUCUGAUAAGAAAAAU
rnacentral:lncRNA from 1 species